rnacentral:rRNA from 1 species
UACGUAGGGGGCAAGCGUUGUCCGGAAUCAUUGGGCGUAAAGAGCGUGUAGGCUGCUCGGUAAGUCCGCUGUAAAAGUCAAAGGCUCAACCUUUGAAUGUCAGUGGACACUGCCGGGCUAGAGUCCGGAAGAGGCGAGUGGAAUUCCUGGUGUAGCGGUGAAAUGCGUAGAGAUCAGGAAGAACACCAGUGGCGAAGGCGCUCUGCUAGGCCGUAACUGACACUGAGGGACGAAAGCUAGGGGAGCGAAUGGG